rnacentral:miRNA from 1 species
UAGGUUGGGACAAAAGUAAUUGCGGUUUUUGCCACUGAAAAUAGUGACAAAAACUGCAAUUACUUUUGCACCAACCUAA